GGCUGUGAUGAUAUACAUUGUCGCCCCAGUCCUAUUCAUAUAUGAGGAUUGACACUUGUGUCUGAACA
rnacentral:snoRNA from 1 species